rnacentral:rRNA from 1 species
UACGUAGGGUGCGAGCGUUGUCCGGAAUUAUUGGGCGUAAAGAGCUCGUAGGCGGUUUGUCGCGUCGGCCGUGAAAUCUCCACGCUUAACGUGGAGCGUGCGGUCGAUACGGGCAGACUUGAGUUCGGUAGGGGAGACUGGAAUUCCUGGUGUAGCGGUGAAAUGCGCAGAUAUCAGGAGGAACACCGGUGGCGAAGGCGGGUCUCUGGGCCGAUGACUGACGCUGAGGAGCGAAAGCGUGGGGAGCGAACAGG